ensembl:lncRNA
GGUCCCUGCGGGGCAGGAGAGGCGGAGAGAGACCCUGGGAACAUCCUGGGUGGCCACCCGUCGGUGCCCGAAGUAUGGCGGGACGGAGGAUGGAAGUCACCAGGACACGGAUUUAGAUUUGACUGAAUGAGUUGGACAGAAUAUUUUCCCCCAGCAGAGGAGGCAGCUACCACGUCUCCUCURUGGAGGAAUUCAAGAACACUUCAGCUCAGAGGGCACAAUUUUCAUGGGGCUUGCAGGGCCUGCCAGAGCACCACAGCCAUGGGGUCUGAAUAGGCAACUGUUGGGCUCUCUUCUGAUUCAGGGAAGCAUUUUCAAGAAACUUAUCCUUCUUGGGGAGUGAAGUCUGUGAAGUGUCCCAACCUGUUCGCCUGCUGUCCUGUUGGCAUAAGAGCAGUUCUCUACGGGAUCUGUGUUGAACACUGCAUCACAUGGGAAGAAAUAGAUUGUGGUUUUGCUAGACUUUUUGUAAUAGGAAUAUUAUUUCCUGAUGGUUGUAAGACAUCUGUCCAGGUACAUUAUCCAACUGGAAAAAUAUCUCAAGAAUCGUACUUGCAGCAAUAAUCAAAAUCUCCUCCCUAGCCAUCAAAUGUAAUAUGARCUUUAUGUCCCCUUGCACUGCCACAGAUUGCCAGGCAGAUCAGAUAGGGAUUCUUUCUGUUGCUUCAUUU